CAUACAGGGAGGAAAUCAUAUAACAAUGAUAAAUGUGGAAAAGCUGCUAUUAAAAUGUCAAGUCUCAUUAGACACCAAAGAAGACAUGCUGGAGAGACUGUCCUUCCUAUGCACAUAAGGAAGGUGGGAAAGCCUUCAGUCGCAAAUCACAUCUCACAGAGAAUGAGAAAAAUUCAUCCAGGAAAGAAAGCCCGGAAUGGAAUCAAUGUGGAAGUGUCUUAGCUAGAAGAAAUACUUCAUUAAAGAUCAGAACAUUCACACUGUAAAUAAUGAGAACUCUAUGAAUGUAAGAAAUGUGGAACAUCUUCAGCCAAAAGGAAAACUUCAUUAUUCAUCAAUAAUCCAUAUAAAAAAGAAAUCUUAUGAAUGUAGUAGGUAUGAAAAAGCUUUUAUUCGGAAGUCAAACUUUAUACCAGAGAGGUCAUACUGGAGAUAAACCCUACGCAAGUAGGGAAGGUGAGAAAGCACUCAGUGGCAAAUCAAAUUCCACUGGGCAUGAGAAAAUCCAGAUUUGAGGCCAGGCGCGGUGGCUCACGCCUGUAAUCCCUGCACUUUGAGAGGCCAAAGUGGGUGGAUCACUUGAGCACAGGAGUUCAAGACCAGCCUGGGCAACAUGGCGAAACCCCGUCUCUACUAAAAAUAAAAUAUAUAAAAACUGAGGUCUCUACUAAAAAUAAAAUAUAAAAACGAUCACCUGAGCCUGGGGAGGCGGAGACUGCAGUGAGCCGUAAUCACGCCACUGCACUCCAGCCUGGGUGACAGAGUGACACCCUGUCAAAAAAUAAAAAGAGAAGAAAAGAAAAUUCAGAUCUGAGGGGUGCCCUGUAAAGAUAAUGAAAGUGCAACGAUCUUCGGGCAGAAGCUAUUCAUCAUUAAAUAUUACAAUAUUCAUGACGAGGGCGACACCCUAUACUAAGGGUGCAGAAGUUUUCUCUGUAAUCAUACUGCUUAUUGUACAUGUAAGAACCCGUAAGUAUGAAUGUAAAAUGUGUGGUAAAGUCUUCUGUCCAUUCUUAGCCAAUGCUCUACAUAAGAGAACCAAUACCAACGAAAAAAACUAAUGAAAUAUCUCAAACAGAAGUCAUGCCAUAUUUGACACCAAAGAAUUCAUACUCAUUAAAACCUUAUGAAUACCUUGGAUUUAGGAAAGGCUUUAGCAGGAAUUCAUAUUUCAUAGCAC
rnacentral:lncRNA from 10 species